rnacentral:rRNA from 1 species
GAAUUUUGGACAAUGGGCGAAAGCCUGAUCCAGCAAUGCCGCGUGCCGGAUGAAGGCAUUCGGGAUGUAAACUGCUUUUGUACGGAAAGAAAAGCUUUGGGUUCAUACCAUGGAGUAAUGACGGUACAGUAAGAAUAAGCAACGGCUAACUACGUGACCGCAGCCGCGGUAAUACGUAGGGGGCAAGCGUUAAUCGGAAUUAAUGGGCGUAAGGAGUGCGCAGGCGGGUUUUUAAGACAGUGGUGAAAGCCCCAUGCUCGACCUGGGAACUGCCUUUGUGACUGCAAGGCUAGAGUACGGCAUAGGAGGGUGGAAUUCCGCGUGUAGCAGUGAAAUGCGUAGAUAUGCUGAGGAACACCGAUGGCGAAGGCCACCCCCUGGGCCUGUACUGACGCUCAUGCACGAAAGCGUGGUGAGCAAAC